AACGAACGCUGGCGGCAUGCCUAACACAUGCAAGUCGAACGAGACCUUCGGGUCUAGUGGCGCACGGGUGCGUAACGCGUGGGAACCUGCCCUUAGGUUCGGAAUAACUCCCCGAAAGGGGUGCUAAUACCGGAUAAUGUCUUCGGACCAAAGAUUUAUCGCCUUUGGAUGGGCCCGCGUUGGAUUAGCUAGUUGGUAGGGUAAAAGCCUACCAAGGCGACGAUCCAUAGCUGGUCUGAGAGGAUGAUCAGCCACACUGGGACUGAGACACGGCCCAGACCCCACGGGGAGGCAGCAGGGGGGAAUAUUGAAAAAUGGGGGAAAGCCUGACCCAGCAAUGCCGGGGGAGUGAUGAAGGCCUUAGGGUUGUAAAGCUCUUUUACCGGGGAUGAUAAUGACAGUACCGGGAAAAAAAGCCCCGGCUAACCCCGU
rnacentral:rRNA from 1 species